GGAAUCUUAAAAGAUGACAAUGAUUCCUUUAGUCCCAGCACUCGGAAGGCAAAGGCAGGCAGAUCUCUGAGGUUGAGGCCAACCUAGUCUACAGAGCAAUUUCAGGAAGACAACUGUCAAGAGCUUUUGACAUCAUUCAAAUUUUCCUUUUUCUUCCUGAAUAGUUUACAAUUUGACAACAACUAAAUUCUCUCUUCAACGUUUCUUAAAAGCUGUCAACUCUGAGGCUCAUCCAAUGGACAAAGCUUGGCCUUCUGAGUCCCAGGAACACUGCUGGGUACUGUGCCUUUCUUCAGGCUCUGGCAAACAUUUUUCUAAGUUAGAAUAACAAGCACAAAGUAUGUGACUGACUUUAGUGACCUAAUAUAGCCAAUUUAUCAAAUGGAAAGGACUGGCCCAAGUCUAAGCAAGUUCUGCCUCCUGCGGAAACCUAGAGAUGCCUAUGUUUCCUCCUCCUCCAGAUUCAAGGAAAGAAAAGAAAUACACAUAUAAAGCUCACAAAUGG